UCGAAAGGUAAUCAACUCCAUUCACCGACGACACCUGGAACAAAGGAUCCCGUGUUUUGUAAUCGGCAUUUCAGAAUUUUAUUAUUUGCUGAAUUUCUGGAUAUUAUAGUCGGAUACCUUAGACCAUGAAUUGAGUAAAAUUUUGAAUAGGAAUACCAGUAUGCUUGAACAGUGAACACAACUCAGAACGGAACAUCGCGGUGCAUCCAAGGACAGAUAUUUCUAGGGAUGCUGCUAUGACCAGAUUAUCAUUCUCGUCAAACCCCACCUCAAAUGGAUCAAUUUUGUGAUUUAAAACUUGUAUAUUUGCUGUUGCGCAAAUAGCGCAUUUUCACCUAUCUUUUAAACAUUGAUUUUUUUUACUUUCAACCAACAUGUGUAUUGGACAUUUAUGGCCAUCGGAUAUUGGCCCAUUGAACUCAACAUUGAACAGUUAUAUUGAUGGGAUAUUGGCCCAUUAGACAUUUAUAUUGAUGGGAUAUUGGCCCAUUGAUCAAUCAUUGAGAACUCGCUUUACCCAGUGCACAAUUUAGCCCAGUUGAGGUCGCCACUUGUGUAUACAUUGUUGGGGGGCGACCCGGCGGCCGCCCCCAUAUACUUAUUGUCCAAUUGAAUUCACCGUGACCAAUUAAGCCAAACACAAAUAAAUUUUUCAAGUAAA